rnacentral:misc_RNA from 1 species
AAGAACAUUGCAAGACAGAAAUCUGUCCAUGCACGUAAGAAUGAGAUACAAAGUAUAAUAACAAAAAUAAAUAUAUUUUAGUUAUAUAAUUUUCUUGGCAUUUAAACACUAAAAACCGGAAAAGGCAUAGAUACCAGAUAAUAAAUAAGUACAUAUAUGUUGUGGCUUAAUGAAGACUUUAAACUGCUUUUGAAAGCAGAUCUUGUGUUUUUUAACUGUUACACUACCAGCAAAGGUGUAGAGCAG